GCUAGGCGCAGUGGCUCACGCCUGUAAUCCCAGCAGCUCGGGAGGCUGAGGCAGGGGGAUCACAAGGACAAAGCCAACCCCAGCAACUUAGCAAGGCCCUAAGCAACUUAGUGAGACCCUGUCUCAA
rnacentral:sRNA from 1 species